rnacentral:rRNA from 1 species
AUAGAACGCUGGCGGCAGGCCUAACACAUGCAAGUCGAGCGAGCGGCGGACGGGUGAGUAAUGUAUGGGGACUGCCCGAUAGAGGGGGAUAACUACUGGAAACGGUGGCUAAUACCGCAUACUAUCGGAUAACCCAUAUGGGAUUAGCUAGUAUGUGGGGUAAAGGCUCACCUAGGCGACGAUCUCUAGCUGGUCUGAGAGGAUGAUAAGCCACACUGGGACUGGGACACGGCCCUGACUCCUACGGAGGGAGCAGUGGGGAAUAUUGCAAAAUGGGGGCAAUCCUGAGGCAGCCAGGCCGCGUGUAUUAAGAAGGCCUUAGGGUUGUAAAGUACUUUCAGCGGUGAGGCGUUACCCGCAGAAGAAGCACCGGCUAACUCCGUGCCAGCAGCCGCGGUAAUAC